UACAGAGGGGGCAAGCGUUGUUCGGAAUUACUGGGCGUAAAGGGCGCGUAGGCGGCCUGUUAAGUCGAACGUGAAAUCCCCGGGCUCAACCCGAGAACUGCGUCCGAUACUGGCAGGCUUGAAUCCGGGAGAGGGAUGCGGAAUUCCAGGUGUAGCGGUGAAAUGCGUAGAUAUCUGGAGGAACACCGGUGGCGAAGGCGGCAUCCUGGACCGGUAUUGACGCUGAGGCGCGAAAGCCAGGGGAGCAAACGGG
rnacentral:rRNA from 1 species